UACGUAGGGGGCGAGCGUUGUCCGAAGUUACUGGGCGUAAAGCGCGCGUAGGCGGUCUCUUAAGUCCGGGGUGAAAAGUUCAGCGCUCAACGCGAACAGUGCCCUGGAGACUGGGGGACUUGAGUGUGGGAGGGGGCAGUGGAAUUCCGGGUGUAGCGGUGAAAUGCGUAGAUAUCUGGAGGAACACCGGUGGCGAAAGCGACUCACUGGACCGACACUGACGCUGAGGUGCGAAAGCUAGGGUAGCAAACGGG
rnacentral:rRNA from 1 species